CAGUCAUACCAUGCUGAAAACACCGGUUCAUGUCCGAUCACCAAAGUUAAGCUUGAUCGGACGCGGGCAGUCAUUUAACGAGUAUUCACCUGGGAACAUCACGUGCCG